rnacentral:rRNA from 1 species
UACGAAGGGUGCAAGCGUUAAUCGGAAUUACUGGGCGUAAAGGGUGCGUAGGCGGUUCGUUAAGUCUGUCGUGAAAUCCCCGGGCUCAACCUGGGAAUGGCGAUGGAUACUGGGCAGCUAGAGUGUGUCAGAGGAUGGUGGAAUUCCCGGUGUAGCGGUGAAAUGCGUAGAGAUCGGGAGGAACAUCAGUGGCGAAGGCGGCCAUCUGGGACAACACUGACGCUGAAGCACGAAAGCGUGGGGAGCAAACAGA